UGUGUUGGCGAGCUAGGGUUUGCCAAUUUGUUUGGCAAGUUGGGUGCGCUAAUUUGUGUGGCGAACUGAGUUUGCCGGUUAAAGAUACGGUCAAACUCAAAUUAAGAAAAAGUGAUUUAGUGUAUUUAGGAAUACUUUACGUGCAAGUAACAACUUUUUAAGUCAAACAGGGUAUCCAAAGAUAUCUAGCACUCUUAAGUCUAUACAUACGACCCUUAACUCUAUGAAAUUCGUCACUGAAUAUUCUGUCUUCAAAGUCUCAGUUCUAGAUUCUAUUCAUAGCAAGUCGGGUAAGUCCCUGCCUUGUUAGGAUUGAUCGUCCCAAAAGCUAGGUUCGCUUGCAUGUGCAAAAUCUGUAUGCUUUGUUAGUGAUUUUCUUGUUUAUUGCGAACCAACCAGACCAUCUUCUAACAAGGACAAAGUAGAGCAUUUGAGACCGAAAGGAGCGAAAAACAAGCCAAAAAGGACAAAUAGAGUUGUUUUCAGGAUCCACACGGCCUAGGCAUUUCCACACGGGUAAGCCACACGCCCGUAUGAGCCACAUGGGCUGGCCACACGCCCAUGUGCCAACCCGUGUCGAUUUUGCACCCUGCUUCCAAAAUACGCAGAAAAACUCAAUUUUUAGGCUUUUUGAGCAUUCCAAAGUUUAUAAAUAGCAAUUAAAAGAGGACCUAAGGGGGCAAUCAGAGGAGAUCGAAGAAAACACUCAAAGAAUGCCAUCAAAAUCAACUCGGAAGUGGAACCCCCUCAAGAUCAAAGAUCUCUAUUUAAUUUCUUUCGAAGUUUUAUUAGUUUCUGUUAUGUCUUGUGGUUAUCCUAACUUUGAGAUAUUUCUAUUUAGGAUUAUGAACUAAUCUAGAUACCUAGGGAGGAUGAAACCUAUGAUGAAUUCUAUGAUGAAUGUUAUUAUUUAAUUUCUGUUUUUAUGUGAUAAA